rnacentral:rRNA from 1 species
AGGCCUAAAUCAAUUUCCUUUUAAAGGAACUGUCAGAGGUGAAAUUCUUAGACCAUAGCGUAUAUUAAACUUGUUGCAGUUAAAAAGCUCGUAGUUGAAUUUUAGCGUGUUCGAGUUUGCCAUUCGUUUGGCUUUUUCGAGUUCGCUUUUGGGUUUUCCCUUUUUACUUUGAGAAAAUUAGAGUGUUUCAAGCAGACUUUUGUCUUGAAUACUUCAGCAUGGAAUAAUAGAGUAGGACUUUGGUUCUAUUUUGUUGGUUAUUGAACCUUAGUAAUGGUUAAUAGGAACGGUUGGGGGCAUUCGUAUUUAACUGUCAGAGGUGAAAUUCUUAA